GAGAAUAUUCAAUUUAGUUCUUAACUCCAUAUAUGUUGAAAGAAUUACCUUAUUGCCUAAGGGAAAGAUGAUUCCAGAUAUCUUUGGACAAGACAAGAUCUGUAGUUAUUAGAAGUGUUUGAGCAGUCACUACGUUUCUUGUGUAGCUUUCAGGGCUGCUUGUAUUGUUUCAUCUGAUGGAAGUUUUUUGUUGUUGUAUUUGUUUUUUUCCUCUAAGUUAACAGUAUAGUGGUGCUUGUCAUGCAUUGUCUUCCUGACAAUUUCCAUAAAUACAGGUCUUUUAACCUAUACUGACAAUAUUGUGAAGUACUUUUUUAAUUUAUUUUUUUAUUAGCUAUUCAUGAUAUUACAAUGAUCUUGGCAAUUCAUACAUUUGAAUCAUUGGAGUAUAAUUUCUCAUUUUUCUAAUUGUACAGAUUACAGAAUCACACUGGUCAUAGAGUCACCUAUAAACAUACAGCAAUCACAAUGUCUAUUCUAUUCUGCUGCCUUUCCUAUCCCCCCUACUCCUCCCCUCCUCUCCCAUCAUUUCUCUCUAUCCAAUCUAAUGUGACACACUUUUUUUUCUUUUUCUCAUCACAACAUCAUAAAUGUAUUCUGUAUAAUGAUGAGGUUCUCCUUCCAUCUUCCGUGCAACUCCCCUUCUCCCUCUUUUUCCCUCCCACCUCUCUUCCCUAUUUAGUGGUAGUCUUCUUCUCAUGCUCUUCCUCCCUAUCCCAUUUUGAGUCACCCCCCUUAUAUCAGAGAAGACAUUCGGCAUUUGUUUUUUUAGGGAUUGGCUAACUUCACUUAGCAUAAUCUGCUCUAAUGCCAUCCAUUUCCCUGCAAAUGCCCUGAUCUUGUUAUUUUUUAGUGGUGAGUAAUAUUCCAUUGUGUAUAAAUGCCACAUUUUUUUUAAUCCAUUCAUCUGUUGAAGGGCAUCUAGGUUGGUUCCACAUUCUAGCUAUUUUGAACAUUGGUGUGGCUGUAUCCCUGUAGUAUGCUCUUUUUAGGUCUUUUGGGUAUAGUCCGAGAAGGGGAAUAGCUGGGUCAAAUGGUGGUUCCAUUCCCAGCUUUCCAAGGAAUCUCCAUACUGCUUUCCAAAUUGGCUGCACCAAUUUGCAGUCCCACCAGCAAUGUAUGAGUGUACCUUUUUUCCUCCUGAAUCCUCGCCAGCACUUAUUGUUGUUUGACUUUAUAAUGGCUGCCAUUCUUAUUGGAGGGAGAUUUAUCUGAGAGUAGUUUUAAUUUGCAUUUCUCUGAUUGCUAGAGAUGGUGAGCAUUUUUUCAUGUAUUUGUUGAUUGAUUGUAUAUUCUCUUCUGAGAAGUUUCUGUUCAAGUCCUUGGCCCAUUUGUUGAUUGGGUUAUUUGUUUUUUUGUUGUUUAACUUUUUGAGUUCUUUGUAUACUCUAGAGAUUAGAGCUCUAUUGUGAAGUACUUUAAAAUGAUGUAUGUAUUAAUAAUUUUAUGAAGUGCUAAACAAGUAAUUCUGUUUGAUAAGGACAUAAAAAUAUGUUUUGGAGUCUUGUUACCUGUCACUUACUAACCAUGUAACUUAAAGAACACUUGUUUCCUCAAUACUAUCCCCUGUCCCCCCAGGGUUAGGCAGACAUUUAUUUGUCAGGCUGACAGAAAACAGUUUACCUGUAGACUAAAAGCAAAUAUGGCUUGGGAUAAAAUAAUUGCAGGUAAUGCAGGCUUCCAUCACAAUCCUUGCUGUUAAAGAUUAAGAUUGAAGUGGGAAUUUCAGUUUUCAGAGAGGAUAUUUUCAGAUAUCCCUUCCUUGCCACUGGUUACAUUGGGCCCAUCUCAGAAAAAGCAAGUGGUGUAUAUUACAAGUUAACAAACAAAUACUUCAUUUAAAAAAAGGAUAGUGUUCACUACACAGUAUUGCUAAAAAUUUUAGCAUAGUCAGUAUGUGAUCAAAUAUAAUUAUUCAACAAAUAGUAUCGUCUUUUGAAGUUUAUUAUGAUAGCUAUAGUAAUAGAUUGAGAAGAAAAUCUUAUGUUCUAGAAAAUGUAUGUGGUACAAGGACUACAAAGACAAAAAUUAUCCAUAAUGCCACCACAGGAGAUAAUCACUGUUUAAUUUGACAUAUUUCUUUUUCAAUAGACCUUAUUUUUUAACAGUUUUAGGUUUAUAGGAAAAUCAAGACGGUCUAAGUGUUCUCAUAUGCUUUAUUCAGUUUCCCCUAUUAACAUCAGUAUAAUACUUUUGUUGUAAUUUAUCAGCCAAUAUUGAUAAGUUAUUAUUAACUGAAGUCCAUAAUUUAAUUAGAGUUCUAUAGUUCUCACUUUAAUGGUUAGAACUUUUUUUCUUUUCCAGAAUCUUAUCCAGGGUACCAUAUUGAAUUCUACUGUCAUAUUUUCUUAUGUUUCUCUUGAUGAUGGCAGUUUUUCCUUGUGAUAACCUCGUGAUUUUGAGGAGUACUGGUCAGAUAUUUUAUUCCCCACUGUUGGAAUAUGCCUAAUGAAUUUCUCAUGAUAACACUGGGAUUACAUGUUAUUAGGAAGAAGCCCAAGGCAGAGUGUCAUUUUCAUGGUGUAAUCAAGGGAACAUAUAUAAUCAAGAUUUUUCAUAGUUGAUGUUGACUUUCAGUUGACUGAGGUAGUGUUUGUCAGGCUUCUCCAUUGAAGAGUUGCUCAUGUUUCCCACUUUCUGUACUGUACACUUUGGAAGGAAGUCACUGUGUGUAGCCCAUAUACCUAAGAGGUAGUGAGUUAUGUUAAUCCCACCUUAGGGAAAUCUUCAUAAACUUUAUUUGAAAUUCUUCUUGGAAGAUUAACUUAUUCAAUCAUUUAUAGCAGUAUGGACUCAUGGAUACUUACUUUGUAUUUUGAGUUAUAAUCUGAUACUAUUUGAAUCAUUCUAGUUUUGGCCAUUGUGAACUCUUUAUAAGUUCUAUUCUGUGCUCUUAUGACAUUCUCCAACUGGAGAAUGUUGUUAAUGUAUGUGUGUACAUAUGUGUGUGUGUGUGUGUGUGUGUGUGUGUGUGUGUGUGAGCUGAACAUUUCCUUACAUUCUGUUGCUACAAAUUGCUGCAGACUCAUCUUGUAUAUUUAUUUCCCUAGUAUCAUCCAUUUUUACAAGGUCUGGUUUCACUUACUGGAGAAUGGUUUUAGAGACCAUUAUCUAGGUACUAGGUAUGCUUGCUGCUACUGAGUAUCAUUUAUUUCCUCUCAACUGACAGAGCAAAAUGAUGCCUUUUCACUAACCUGUGUAUUUAAGUAUAUUUAUAAAUGCAUCUAUAUGUAACCAUUAGUAUCUACAUGAAAAAUCUAAGUCCAUACUGAUGUCUCCAAGUCAAAGUAAUUACCAGAUGGGUCAGUCUAGCUUUCUCCCUGUGUUUAUCUGUAAAAUCCCACUUCAAUAGUAAAAAACCUGGUUCCUGUCUGUCAUCCUUUUACUUACUUGUUCAAUUUCACAGUACAAGUAUAAUAGUAUCAGAAUUGUUAACAUAUAUCCUGUGGAAAAAAAACUUUAUUAAGUAAAGUUUAUGUGCUGGUUCUUUUUGCCUUUAGCCUCAUAGACUGUAUGCAUUUCCAGAGUUUUUUAGGUCAUCAUCUUUCCCCGUCCCCUUCAGCAAGGUUGUUUGAUACAUUUAUAAUACAGUUAGUCAUGCCAUUUUGAAUUCUUUCCUGGAUUCACCUGAUGUUUUUAUUUUAUUUUGAUAUAAGGUCUCAUACAUUCAGUAUGAUCUCACCUCUGUGUGUUAUGUGUAAGUAAAUUGCAAAUAUAUUGCAUAUAUUGCAAAUAAGUAUAUGAAAAAGAUGCUCAUGGUUUGUCUUAAGAGAACUGCAAAUUAAAACAACAUCAGAUUCAACCACAUACCUUUCAGAUUCAUUAAAAUAAAAAACCUGACAAAACCAAAUGCUGAUAAGAAUACAGCAACAGGAACUGUUGCAAUGGAAAUUCAUAGUGGCAUUAGCCACUUAGAAGACAGUUUGGCAAUCUCUUCCAAAGUUAGACAUAGUUUUACCAUAAGACCCAGAAAUCAUGUUUUAGAUAUUUACCAAACUGAUUUAAAAACUUAUGUUCACAAAAUAACUUACCCAUGAAUGUUUAUAGCAACUUUAUUCAUAAUCACCCAAAGCUGGAAGUAACCAAAUGUUUUUGGUUGAAUGGAUAAACAUAAAUGGAUAAACCAUGGGAUUUAUUUAGAAGAAUUCCAUAAAAGGAUGCAUUUAAAAAGUUGUUAUUGUUAAUGAUAGCAAAAGGGAAGAGGAGGAUAUUAAGUAUGGGAAAAGAGAGUCCUUAUCUUCCAUGAGGCUAUGAGAUGGCAGCAAAGGACUAGAAUUUUUCAGUUUUGGUAAUCUAGGGGACUCUGGUGUUGGAAAAUAAAAAGUUUUUUUUAAUUUUUUUUUAUUAGGAGUGUUCAGAGCUGUGAAUAUUCACAAUAACAUUCUUUGUCACUAUAUAUUUGGGAAUAAGUUGAAACUCAUAAUAUGAGUUAAGUGCAGACUUGGCAGUUUGAGGAAAAAAGCCAUCUAAUAGCCUCUAAUUUUCGACUCUAAUCACCAAUGGCCUAUACUUUUCCCCAUGGUUCUAUGAUUUGAGAAUUUCCAGUUUAAGCAAGAAUAAGAGGGGAUAUAGCUCAGUUGGUAGUGAGCUUGUCUCACAUGCACAAGGCCCUGGGUUCAAUCCUCAGCACAAAAAAGAAAAGUUACAAAAACCCUUGGGGGAUAUAGCUCAAAGGUAAAACACCUUUGGGCUCAAUCCCCAGUAUCAAAAACAGUAAUGAUAAUAAUGUUUCUGUAAAUCUUUAAAAAUGGGAGUUCAUAACCCACUUGAAUCAAAGUGUGAAAUAUGAUGUAUCAAGAACUAUGUAAUGUUUUGAACAACCAACAAUAAAAAUUUAAAAAAAAGAAUAAGAGAAAUGUUUUUUUUUUUUAUAUUUUUAAAGAAAUUUUAAGUAGGUGAUAUGGCUUGUCUUAUUAGUUCUUUUAGUAUUUCAAAAUGCUUUAUGAUGAGAGACUGUCAAACAUGGACAAUAGGUCAGGUAAUAUCUUCACCUGACUUGGCAUUCCCCUCUAAUUAAACCAUGAAAGUUUAGCAUCACAUCUGUAGUGGAACAUAGGACAACUUA
rnacentral:lncRNA from 1 species